rnacentral:rRNA from 1 species
ACGGCGAGUGAAGCGGCAAUAGCUCAAAUUUGAAAUCUGGCGCUUGCGUCCGAGUUGUAAUUUGUAGAGGAUGAUUUUGGUUAGGUACCUUUCGAGUUCCUUGGAACAGGACGCCUUAGAGGGUGAGAGCCCCGUACGAUUGGAUGCCGAGCCUCUGUAAAUCUCCUUCGACGAGUCGAGUAGUUUGGGAAUGCUGCUCUAAAUGGGAGGUAAAUUUCUUCUAAAGCUAAAUACCGGCCAGAGACCGAUAGCGCACAAGUAGAGUGAUCGAAAGAUGAAAAGCACUUUGAAAAGAGGGUUAAAUAGCACGUGAAAUUGUUGAAAGGGAAGGAUUUAUGACCAGACUUUUUCUAGGAGGAUCAUCCGGUGUUCUCACCGGUGCACUUCUUCUAGUUUAGGCCAGCAUCGACUUCUGGCGGCGGAUAAAAGCUUUAGGAAUGUGGCUCCCUACGGGGAGUGUUAUAGCCUAUUGUAUAAUACGCUGCUGGGGGUCGAGGUACGCGCUUCUGCAAGGAUGCUGGCGUAAUGGUUAUCAAUCACCCGUCUUGAAACACGGACCAAGGAGUCGAACAUUUAUGCGAGUGUUUGGGUGUUAAACCCUCACGCGUAAUGAAAGUGAACGGAGGUGAGAGCCCUUACGGGUGCAUCAUCGACCGAUCCUGAAGUUUUCGGAUGGAUUUGAGUAAGAGCAUAACUGUUCGGACCCGAAAGAUGGUGAACUAUGCGUGGAUAGGGUGAAGCCAGAGGAAACUCUGGUGGAGGCUCGCAGCGGUUCUGACGUGCAAAUCGAUCGUCAAAUCUGCGCAUGGGGGCGAAAGACUAAUCGAACCA